UGAUUUGUGAUAUUUGGGAUAUUUUGAUAAACAUGAUGCAUAGGUGCAGUAUAUGCCUUUUGUUAAUGGUUGGAACAAUCAAUAGUUGUGAAGUUAGUUCCAUUACAUUAACUAAAAUUCUUUGCUUGCUUUACUCCUAUUUUUAGGAAAUGGUGAAGGGUGGGAAGCUAAUCUUCUCAUUUGAUGUAACAAAGAAAGCUCGCUUUGGCGUGGUUGGUUUGAUAUUAUCCUUCAAGAGAACACUGAUGAACCAAGAAGUCUGAACUAUGCAGUUAAUCCAAACCUUCAAGCCAAUAUUAAAUGAAAAUGGUGAUUUCAUAUCUAGGAUAAAAUCUAAUUUGCAUUUGUAAUUUGUCCACAAUCUCACAAGUUCUCAUUUUAUUGGAACCUGAACCAAGUGGAAGUUCCUAACCAUCCAGUCUUUGGCAUUUUUUACAGACUAUUGCUAUAUUUUUUUUCCUUAACCGUUUACUCCAAGGACAUUGAUCGAAAGAUCAAGAUCAUCUCUAUCAGAGGGCAUCAUCCAUCCACACCGAGAUUCAUUGGAUUUAUAGUGUGGAUUAUCACUUGCCCCAUUUGGAUGGAAUGAGUGCGUCAUCAUAGUUUUUGCAUUCAUGUAUUUCUAUUUUGUUGAUGAAUUACUUUACUAUGAAUAAUUGCACAUCAUUUUUAGGCUUUAACCAGAGAUUUAAUUUGUACUCUCUAGAUUUUAUAGGUGAUGCUGCUUGCACAUUUCAAGCGAUUGAUGAGAGAGUUUACACAUAUGCAUGACCAAGCUACUCAUCUAACUUGAUUCUUCCAACGUAAAUCUUGGACCAAGCAUAAGUUGUGGGUAAGUUUUACUAACACGCAUGUGAAGCAUUGCCCAACCAAAUGCAGCCACAUGCACCAAUGUAGCAUAAGGCUGCUGCAUAGGAUUAUGAAAGAGAGAAGCUUAAUGAAAGAAUAGCAAAACUCUCUGGUUGUGUUGCUGUCAUUCAGGUUUCUGGCUAAUGAUGGGAAGAUGAAGCUAAAGGCAAUGCUUCUAACCCAUUCCUCUUCAUAAAUACAUUCUAGAAAACUUAAGAACCUUGGUCUGAUUUCUAUUCUUGAUUAUACCUACAAUGUCAUUCCAAAUCAGCAUGGAAAGAGAUGCAUUUUCACACCUAGAAAGUGAACAAGUUUGCCUUGCUUGGUCUAGAACGAGCUCCCCUCGGGUCAGGAGUGCAUUAAGCAUAUCCAAAAACCAUUUAGGUACAUAAAAGGCCAUCACAUUGUGGAGCUCUUCAUCUGCUUGACGGACUUUCAUUGAAUUGUCUUUUAAUUUUGAAGUCUUCCAUUGUAGAUUUUAGUUUUUACUGUCAGGUUUGUAAGUCAGAUAAAUAAUGUUUCAAAUUAGAUCAUGGUUGUUUUUACUAUCUUUUGAUUCUUAAAUGAAUAUGGCUUAAAUAUAUUUUAUUUUAUUUUAUAUAGCAGGUUUUUUUUUUUU